AACGAACGCUGGCGGCAUGCCUAACACAUGCAAGUCGAACGAGACCUUCGGGUCUAGUGGCGCACGGGUGCGUAACGCGUGGGAACCUGCCCUUAGGUUCGGAAUAACUCCCCGAAAGGGGUGCUAAUACCGGAUAAUGUCUUCGGUCCAAAGAUUUAUCGCCUUUGGAUGGGCCCGCGUUGGAUUAGCUAGUUGGUAGGGUAAAAGCCUACCAAGGCGACGAUCCAUAGCUGGUCUGAGAGGAUGAUCAGCCACACUGGGACUGAGACACGGCCCAGACUCCUACGGGAGGCAGCAGUGGGGAAUAUUGGACAGUGGGCGAAAGCCUGAUCCAGCAAUGCCGCGUGAGUGAUGAAGGCCUUAGGGUUGUAAAGCUCUUUUACCCGGGAUGAUCAUGACAGUACCGGGAGAAUAAGCUCCGGCUAACUCCGUG
rnacentral:rRNA from 1 species